CCAACCAACGGUGAGUAGCCAGUCAAGCUGGAGCUAAGCUCCCUGCCCACUGGUCCCGGCAGAGCUGGGCCCGGGAUGGUGUCUGGAGUCCCGGCAGCUGGAGCAGACGCAGGAGCAAUGGGUCACGGUUCAGGGCCCGACACGGCGUGACUCGUUAGGCUUCUGUGCCCACGCGGUGGGGGUCCUUCUGCCAGGCUGGUCGGGGGCCCCCUAGCCGCUUACACAGACUGGGUAGCGCUUCUGCCGGAAGGUGAGCGUAGGGCCUCUCCGGCCCAGAGGGCACCGCGAGGGCGGAGGGGGGCUCACAGCGUGUGGUGCUGGCGGGCCGCUCGGCCUCCGUCCCGCUCGUUGUGCUGAUCAUCCACGCAUCCGUCCUUCCGUGCUCUGGGGCAGCCAAGACGUGCAGGAUCUAUUGGCCGGGAAGAUAUUCAUUCCUGUGCCUCACGCCCAUGCUGACAUCCUGAAUAUGCGUCCCGCCACACACACAAUAAACCCUGGAUGACACUGUGCCAUGAGGAAAUGCCGUCUGGGGAAAGAAGCCUCUUAAACCCCGGCCUCCAGGCCUCUCGCCCUUCACCUGCUCUGGGGCUGUCUAGAACUCUCCCAACACACGCGCACCCCGAGAGCCCGAGGCUUUAUUCCGACUCCUUGAAGGACGGGUUUAAACCAGAAGGGCAAAGAGCGAAGAAAAAGGAGCAUACAGACGGGCUGAGAAGAGUUGGGUUUUAUUGUUCUCGUGUACUGGGUAGGGUGCAAAACUGCCCUCCCCGCCACUGGCCCGGGGGCGGGGGCAGGAUGGUUCCGGAGACUCUGCCAUUUUGAGCGUCAAGGCUUAUGGGUGCACGAGCACGGUGGGUUCCACCUUCUAACAUGAAGUGCAAACUAAUUCACAGCCACAUUUCACCAGGAGGGAGAGACAGUCCUAGCUGAAGGCACUUGAAUCCCAGCACACCCCAAGGCCACAAUUUGUUUUCCUUCUGGUUACCCUGAUAAAUCUAGAUGCCACUCUCCUGGAGAGCCAGCACCGCCGGCAGCUGUGUUAGCCGGGGGGCAGGGUGUGAGGGCCUGUCACUGGUAGAACUUCUUGCUGGGGCUGUUAGCGUGGUCGAUGAGCAGCUGGCACGGGGUGAACGGUUUUCCGUAGGCAGCCUCGUACUUCCUGAGCCUGUCCACUAUCUUCUGGGCGCCAUACAGAUCCACAUAGCGGAAGGGCCCUAAAUGGAGAAACAGGACUUCGCUGAAGGCGACAGCGAAACGAGCUCUGGGGUAAAACAAGCUACUUUCCCAACUUGCGAGACCAACCUCCAAGGCACGGGGGAAAGCCAAGCCCGAAGACGGCUCCGAUGUCUCCCUCUGCGGGCGUGGCCAGGAUCCCUUCCUGCAGGCACAUGAUGGCCUCAUUCACAAAUCUUGUCACCAGGCGGUACUGGAGGUCUUCGUCAGAGCAGCUGCCGAGAGAGAGGGAAGCUGAGGUAGAUGAAGCGUCACGGGAGGGACGCGGGAAAGAGGGUUGCUGCCGCCAGAGCCCAGAGGGUCAGCCAGGACGGAACUUCCAAUGCUGGAGAGGAGCCACAGGGAAGCCGCCCUUGCCCUUGGAAUAGAGUCUUAGGGCUGCUUGUCCUAAUCGGCCUGGAACUGGCGCUUAGAACAGGGGAGGGGAGGGUGGACAGAAUCUCUGGACAUCAUCAGCUGCCAAUUACAAAUGAUAAAAAUGGUCUGGGGCUUGAAGGGACCCAGGACAAUCGUCUUUCUAGUUCUCUCCAGACCUUCAGAGGGAAGGCUGGAACAGGGGUCUUUCCAAGGCUUGGCUGCAGUCCCCACCCCGAUGCGUGGCAGAAAGCGAGGAGGCACGUGGAAGGGCAGGAGUAUUCUGGUCAGGCAAGGUGAGUGUAACAAAGACGGAAGAGGACUGAGAAACUUUGGGCUGAAGAGAAACACGUUUCCACACUAUUAGCUACUCAAGUUAACUCACACGUCAGACUUAGGAGGCACCUUCAGACUUGCCAAAAUACCAUCCAUGUCAGAAUUCAAACUCUUAUUCUUCACGCCCUCCUGGUAGAUGUAAAAGCCCUUCCCAGACUUGCGACCUAAAAGAAGCCGGAAAAGGGAGGAUUACCAUUUCUCAGAGCGCCAGCCCGAGGAUUCUCUCCUCCGCUAGUCUGCUGCGAAGCUCUAACCUCUCGACCGUACUCCUGACCCGGCUGGCUGGCUGACCCUGGAAAUGCGGUGUUUGCCAGCAGCGUUGGCAGAGAAGGAAAAAUGACGUUGUGUUUCCCGGAGCCUGGAACUCUGUGUAUGUGGCUGGGAAAGGCCACCUGGAUCAGCUUUAAAGUCCAGACACGCAACGCCAGGCCCUAGCAUGCCGUGUUCCCGGUGCCGAUUUUGCCGCGGCUUCGACGAGACAGAGCGAGCCACCUCUCCCGGGCCUCCCUCACAUCCUCUGUGUUAGAAGCAUCACCUUCUCUGCACGGGUGGCCAGACAGCAUGGUGACGCCUGAGUGCAGAACUUGCUCCUGCAGGAUGACAGGUGUAUUCCAGGCCUUGGGCCCCGAUGAAAGUGCCUGUCAGUCUUGCAUACCUUGGGAGGUGGCAGAGCCUCAGGCCAGAGUCCUGCCUUUGUCUGUAAUCUACGGGCCCAGCCUAAGGGGUUGUCAUGAAGUCAUUUAAAAAACUCCCCGUGACAGUGGCCUCUGUGUUUAGGAAGAACUCUUCCACACGGGCCUUCUGUGACCGUGUCUCAGGAAACUAGAAUUACGUGUCUCUGAGGCCACUCACCUAGGAAGCCCCUGGACACCAUCUGCUUCAGCAGUUCUACGCUUCCACCUUCAAACCGCUCCCCAAAGGCUUUGCCUAGAUCUUCUGCCACGUGUUUUGCCACGUCCACGCCAACUUCAUCGACCAGUGUGGCAGCACCCACGGGAAAGCCAAAGCUUGUGGUAAGGGAAUCCAGCUUCUUAGGGUCAACUCCUUCCUGAAUGGGAGGUAAGCAGGGACCUCAAGGAAAGGCAUUCUGGGCCCUCCCACGAAGGCUCCCCACGCGGGCCCUCCGAGACCGGGCUGCCGCAACACCCGCUUCUCUCCCAGGCGCCGCCUGGCCAGGCCCAGGACUGGGCUGUUCCACCCAGGGAGGCAAAGGAGCUUUGGGAGUCAGCAGGGGGAAAGUCUGAGGCUUCCCGAACCCACAGCACUUUAAGGAACGAACAAAUUCAUUUAGAGAUGAACACACUGUUCAUUUCCUUCUCGUUUGCAAUUCUGAAUCUCGGGAGUAAUGAGAUCCUGCGGCGCACAGGGCGAAGUCUCCCAUAACUAAGAGAAGAGGCCUCCCCCCGGAGCAGUGCUGCGGAGCCCCCGAGCCAGCGUCUGACGAGUGCCCGGCGAGGGGGUGCCACCGGAGGGGUGUGUCCAGGGGUGCAGAAGCCGGUCCAGCACCCAUCAGGCCGGUGGGCCUGCGUGUUCUGGAUGGUCCCUGCCUCAAAGGGGAUGCAGAAACCGUGAAGAGCAUGUCGGGAGGCCCUGGGCCUAGUGGAGCGGGGAGGCGGUUAAGGGAGCGGAGCUAAAAUUCUGCCCACUGUAGGGCAGCAAAGCCCAUGAUUUCCAACCACCGUGUGGAAGGACCAGGCAAAAAGAUCCCCAGGCAUCUUGGGGAGGCACCAGGACUUAGUGUGUUAGAAGGAAGCCUGUUCCCCAUCCCGACAGAACCAAUUUGGAGGACUGGUGUAAGGGGUGGAAGAUGCCUCCAACAUUCCAAGAGCGGUACCAACCUGGAGGAUUCGGAGGACUUCAGACAUCAUGGGUGCGAGACACCGGGUGGUAUAGAAGCCAGGUCCGUCCUGCCGAGGGAGGGAACGUGAGCUCAGCGGCUCCUCUGCUUCAGGUGCCACCCAAGUGUGACAGCAGGCUCCCUUCCCCGGGUGUCACUUCAAAAUUCAAGGCGGUUUAUACUUUCAAACAGAAUCGUUAAAAUUACAUUGCAGGGGAAGCCACAGCCAGAACAGCACGGCUUCAACCAAACGGCACAGCACAGGGUUUCACAGUCACCUGAAAGGUCUGGAGUGGCUGGGAGAACCCGCCGUGUCCCAGACACUCCCCUCUCAGACCGUGACUCAGGAGUACCGUCCACAGCGCUGUCCAUGAGGCAGACAACCAAGGGGAAAUCAUACCCAAAGGUGACAUAUUUGCCCCAGAACAGGUGUAAACAAGCCCGGAGGUGUAAGGAGUCUCGACAGAACUUUCCCCAAAUCUGCCACUCUGUUUCACCGCUCUUUACCUUCACCACAACGAUGACCUUCCCCUGCUUGAGCCCGACUGCCACGACGGAGGCAGUUGUGUCCUUAGAAGUUUUCUCGGUUGUGAUAAUCUCCAGCAGCUGCAUCUUGUCCACCGGAGAGAAGUAGUGCAUGCCGAUCACCUGGCAAGGGGAAGGCAAAGCCGACAUCUAAGAACACCGAGGAGAGAACCCGCCAGCACGCACGCUUUGCUAGGAGAGCAAGGGAGAGAAAGGCAGUUGGAUACAGGAACGCUGCUCGGCACCGCCGAGCCGUGUGGCGCUGUGGUUCUCUGAGAAAAAGUUCAGUAUGUUCAUAGGGCUCAUUGGAAUCCUCCUCUUCCAUCUGCUUCUAGGGUUUUUCACUGAGGGCAACAGAUCCUACUGACAAUUAGCACCAAAUACAGCGAAUGGCCAGAUUAGAUUUAUCAGGGAAGAAUGAACGAAGGUUCCGCUCAUAUUGAUGACACUGAGUUUAGGUGAGAGGACCCGCUUUUUCUGGUGGGGAGGCAGAGGGAGGCAGAAGAGUCAGUAUGCCAGACUGUCAGAGCUAGAUCUCGAGUUUACAGAUGGGCCUCACCACCAGGAUACCGGGUUUAAAUAACAUUUAUCAACAUUCAAAUGCACCUGAAGACUCAUUAAACCAAUGAUUCUCAAAGUGAAGUACUGGACCAGUAGCAUUAACAUCGCCUGGGAAAUGUUCGAACUGCAAAUUCUCAGGCCCGCCCCAGACUCACAUCUACUGAAUGAGAGACUGGGGGCAGGGUCCAGAUCUGUGCUCAAGAAGUCUUCCAGGUGACUGAUUCAUGCUGAAGUUGAGAACCUCCUUCUUAAGCUAACAAUCGGUCCUUCCAAAUUGAACUGCUGUGGGAGAGAACAAUUUAACCAUAGAACUUAGUUUUGUGCCCCCUACCCUCACCUUAAUUGUAAGAUAUAACUCAUAAUAUCUAAUAAUAUAAUAUAAUAACAGCAAUACUGAUUGCUGGCUAUGCACUGUUCUUUAAUACAUUUGCCAUUAUUCCUUACAUGUAAUCCAUUGCUAUGUGAACUAGCCAGUCUUCUCUAGAUGAGGAAAAAAGACAUCAGCAGGUUAAAAGUGGUAGCUCAGGGUCAGUUAGUGAAUGGCAGUGGGAUUCUAUCACAGUUGGCCUGUUUCCAAAGCCUGCCUACCCUCCAUUAUGUAAUACACACAUCAUUUACAUGUUCCAUAUACUCACCAAUCCAAAAGUUACUUUUCACCCCUCAACUGUUCCUUAACUGAUGUCUAAAGCAUUUAAAAAGGCAGGUCCUGAUUCAGACUCAGUACUUCUGAGCAAAAGGAAUUAGCCUAUAUGACCUAUAAUUUAUACACAAAAUGUACAGACUUUAAAGUGUUCAUAUUGAUGGGUUUUAACAACUGCAUAUACACUCGUGUAAUUACUACCCUAAGCAAAAUGUAUUUACAUCACUCAAGAAAGUUGUGCCAAAGGUGACCAACUUGUCCCGGACUGCCGGGACUUUCUUGGUUGGAGCACUGGAGGUCCUACGUCUCAGGAAAGCCAACAGAUGGCUGGUGACCCUACCUAUGCCCCUUUGACCUUAAUUUUAUAUAGCAAAGGAGAAGCAGGUGGCAGAAGCUAUCCAAGAUACCUGGAGGCCAGGACUGCAAAGCAAGAUGCUUGUUCCACUCCACUGGGAAGAUGAGAAGUUAGCAUCGAAGAUUCUCCUUUAUGGACUUUAUUCAUUUAUUUUUUUAAACGUUUACUUAUUUAUUUUUGAGAGAGACAGAGAGCACAAGCAGGGGAUUGGCAAAGAGAGAGGUGAACAGAGAAUCCCAAGCAGGCUCUGUGCUGACAGAGGGCUUGAACUCACGAACUGUGAGAUCAUGACCCGAGCCAAAAUCGGGAGUCAGAUGUUCAACCAACUGAGCCACCAGGGCGCCCCUCCUUUAUGGACUUUCAAUGUUGCAGAGGUGCUCAGAGUGAUAUGACAUGGCCAGACGGUCCAUCUACCUUUAUACUGUUUUUGUGUCUCCCCUCAGUGUCACACUAUCAGCUGCCACUUCUCCCUAUGACCUUCUCCUGCCAUCCCUGAACCUGCCUCUAUCAGGUCCUACAUCACUUCCGAUCUGCUGUGUGCUAGGAAAUGAGAUUACCUUGCACUGGCAAACUACUAGAAGAGGAAUAAACAGACUUUUGUGUUUUCAGUA